rnacentral:rRNA from 1 species
UACGGAGGGUGCGAGCGUUGUCCGGAAUCACUGGGCGUAAAGGGCGCGUAGGCGGCCGGAGAAGUCGGUGGUGAAAGCUCGGGGCUCAACUCCGAGUCGGCCACCGAUUCUGUUCGGCUCGAGUUUGGUAGAGGCAGAUGGAAUUCCUGGUGUAGCGGUGAAAUGCGCAGAUAUCAGGAAGAACACCCGUGGCGAAAGCGGCUCUCUGGAACGGUACUGACGCUGAGACGCGAAAGCGUGGGGAGCGAACAGG